UACAGAGGGGGCAAGCGUUGUUCGGAAUUACUGGGCGUAAAGGGCGCGUAGGCGGCCGCCUAAGUCAGACGUGAAAUCCCUCGGCUCAACCGGGGAACUGCGUCUGAUACUGGGUGGCUUGAAUCCGAGAGAGGGAUGCGGAAUUCCAGGUGUAGCGGUGAAAUGCGUAGAUAUCUGGAGGAACACCGGUGGCGAAGGCGGCAUCCUGGACCGGCAUUGACGCUGAGGCGCGAAAGCCAGGGGAGCAAACGGG
rnacentral:rRNA from 1 species